rnacentral:rRNA from 1 species
GACGAACGCUGGCGGCGUGCCUAAUACAUGCAAGUCGAACGGUCUUUUCUAUGGAAGCUUGCUUCCACUGAGAAGAUAGUGGCGGACGGGUGAGUAACACGUGGGUAACCUGCCCAUAAGAGGGGGAUAACAUCCGGAAACGGGUGCUAAUACCGCAUAGUUUUCUUGGUCGCAUGAUCGAGAAAGGAAAGACGGCCUUUGUGCUGUCGCUUAUGGAUGGACCCGCGGCGUAUUAGUUAGUUGGUGAGGUAACGGCUCACCAAGACGAUGAUACGUAGCCGACCUGAGAGGGUGAUCGGCCACAUUGGGACUGAGACACGGCCCAAACUCCUACGGGAGGCAGCAGUAGGGAAUCUUCCGCAAUGGACGAAAGUCUGACGGAGCAACGCCGCGUGAGUGAAGAAGGUUUUCGGAUCGUAAAACUCUGUUGUCAGAGAAGAACAAGUCGGAGAGUAACUGCUCCGGCCUUGACGGUAUCUGACCAGAAAGCCACGGCUAACUACGUGCCAGCCGCCGCGGUAAGAC